ensembl:snoRNA
CUGGCCCUGAAUUAAAGCCGGAAGCUUCCUGACACUGUUGGUUUCAAGCAGGAGCCUAAAGAGAUGUCUUUCUAUGGUCUGUUAUCUAUUUCAGAACUUGAGCCAGGAAAUGGUCAAUCCAUUAGAAAGAAGCAGCU